GUCAGUAGCCAUAGCACCUGCAGUUGAGACUAUGUAAUCCAGCUGAAGCUAAGCAGGUUUAGGCCUGGCCAGUACUUGGAUGGGAGACCAACUAGGAGAGCUGGGCUGCUGCUGGAC
rnacentral:rRNA from 1 species